rnacentral:rRNA from 1 species
GAUGAACGCUGGCGGCGUGCCUAAUACAUGCAAGUCGAGCGAACAGACGAGGAGCUUGCUCCUCUGACGUUAGCGGCGGACGGGUGAGUAAAACGUGGAUAACCUACCUAUAAGACUGGGAUAACUUCGGGAAACCGGAGCUAAUACCGGAUAAUAUAUUGAACCGCAUGGUUCAAUAGUGAAAGACGGUUUUGCUGUCACUUAUAGAUGGAUCCGCGCCGCAUUAGCUAGUUGGUAAGGUACCGGCUUACCAAGGCAACGAUGCGUAGCCGACCUGAGAGAGGGAUCGGCCACACUGGAACUGAGACACGGUCCAGACUCCUACGGGAGGCAGCAGUAGGGAAUCUGCGGCAACGGGCGAAAGCAUGACGGAGCAAGGCCGCGUGAGUGAUGAAGAUCUUCGGAUCGUAAAACUCUGUUAUUAGGUAAGAACAAAUGUGGAAGUAACUAUGCACGUCUUGACGGUAAUUAAUCAGAAAGCCACGGCUAACUACGUG